GAAGUAUUCCUCUAUUUGUUUUUUGUUUUAAAUAAUGUAUUCAAAUGUGAAAGCCCUCAUCGUCUGAGACACUUGUCCUUCAAAAGUUGUCUGGAGCAACAUACAUUAACUCUCGCAGAGGUGAAAAAGGACACAAAUCACUUAAGAGAGGUUACUGUUACCGGAAAGAUUUUAGACUUUCAGCCUGCAAUCAGCGUUCUGCAGAAUGAAGAAGAAGGGAUACAUUAUUCUCAUUAUAUUCUGUAUGAUACCACUGCAAAAGUUCACUUGAGUUUAACAGAUAAAUUUAUUGUAACCAUCAAUCAGUGGUAUAUAUUUAAAAGUCUUUCCAUCUGUGACUUUGGCAAGGGAAAUGUGCUUUGUUCAACCGAACUCACAACACUGGAGUCCUUUACUCUUUUAGCAGACAAUCUACUGGAGUCUGAAGAGACCGUCAUCUCAGGGAAGGCCACUGAGGCAUUACUGACCUUUGAAUAUAUUUGUUCUUGCAGUACCACGCUCUCUUUCUCAAAUGGCAAAUUGUUCCGUAUUAAAUGCAACAAGUGCAGAAAAAGCUGCAGGUGUGAAAAUAUUCAAAACAGAGCCAAGGCCAAUGUAACCAUCAAACAGCUCAAUGGAAGAGACCAGAGAGUGGUGUUAAAUGACGCACUGCUGCACUCCAUUUUCAGCUUUAAGAGAGAGGGAUACUGUGACAGUCAGCAGCUAGAGGACCGUCUGCUGAGAGCUGAGAGAAUGACUGUUGUCUGUGUGGAUGAUGAGCCUCGGCGUGUGCAAAUAGAAGCAGUGGAAGAUGUGGCAAAAAAAAAAUUUUUUUCUAGAUGCUGUGUCAUUUGAAGUCUUUUUCCUUAAAUGGUUAGUUAAUUCCAAACUCAUUAGAAAUUAGUUUGUCUUUGGAACACAAAUGAAGAUAUUUUUAAUGAUACCUGAGAGAUUUCUGUCUAUCAAUUUAAAGACUAUUCACCCAAAACUCUGAUGCUCUGAAUGCUCGUGAAAAGAACAACUAAUAAAUCCAUAUGAAUUAAGCA
ensembl:lncRNA